AUAGAUGAGAAGUUGCUGGUACACUACCUCACCUACACCAAAGAGAGCAGUUAUUGCGGCUAAACAUCCAUUCAAGGAGGAUCUCGAAGCAAAUAAAUUGUACGCUUGGUGUGCAUGUGGGCACAGUCAAAAGCAGGUGGUGAGUCUUCGAAACCGCUCAAAGGGUGAUGGAAGCAGAAUCUUCGAAAAUUUUUGAAACAAAGACGGAUGGAUUCCUGAUACAUAAGGGGUGCAGGGUUACCAUGGAGGACAGGAAUGUGGUUACAGCCAGAUCAUCCCUAAAUGACAAUCAAGAUUGAGAGCUGAAUGACUUAUUCCUGCUCCAAAUUUGUAUGUUCAUGUGUUUGAGUGGGUGUGUUCAUUGUGAACAGAAGAGCUUUUAUUCAAAAUGAUUGGGAAUCACUAGUUUGGAGAAUGUUCGUCUCAUUGGAACAUAUAAAAUUCUUAAAAGAACUUCUUGGUGUUGAAGUUCAGAGUCUAUUUCUUUAAAGUAAUGGGUCAACCAUUUAAGACAGAGAUAAGGAGAAACCUCUUUACUUAGAGGGCUGUGAAUUUUCUUUGGAGCUCUUUACCCAAGAAGCCCAUCAAUGGUCAUCCAAUUAUAUUCCAGAUUCCAUUUAGUUAAUUCCCCAGAUGGAGGAAUUGCCUACUAGGUCUACCCCUACUCGCCCUUGAACUGAAUGACAUGCAGGACCAGAUGGCAGUCAAGAAUUAGCCAAGUUGCUGUGGGUUAGUAGUCACAUCCAGCCUAGACCAGGGGGAAGAUUUUCUAUCCCAAAGGAUAUUGUUAAACCAGAUGGAUUCUUAAACAACAAUCCAGAGUGUCAAUUGUUACAGAUUUGUUUGUGAUUUAUUUUGAUUGUGGGAUUUGAACUCUUGUUAUUUGAUCCGGAAUUGGAUCAGUGACUUACCUUCCCACAAAGUAGCAUGGGUUCAUAAAAUUGAUCCAUCAAAAAUCCAUUACUUGAUGCUAGCUCUUCAUUCCAGAUUUAGAACAUAGGACAUAGAACAGUUACAGCACAAUUCAGGCCCUUCGGCCCACAAAGCUGUGCUGAACAUGUCCCUACCCUAGAAAUUACUAGGCUUACCCAUAGCUGUCUAUUUAACUCAGCUCCAUGUACCUAUCGUAUCAAUUUGUUUAUGAAUGUGCAUUCAAACAUACAGAUUACGAGCAGGAAUAGGCCACUCAGCCCCUCGAGCCUAGUCUGCCAUUCAAUAUGACCCUGAUUAAUAUAAUUCUAACUUCAACUCCACAUUCUCACCUACCCCCCCUUACACCUUUUAAGGAAGAGAGUUCCAAAGAAAGAGAAAAAAACUCGUCUUGUUUCCCUUCAUGCAAGUCACUUAUAUAAAUUGUAAGAAGUUGCCCCAGCACUGAUUCCUGUGACACACCCCUCCUUAGAUCUUGCCAAUCAGAAAAAGGCUCAUUUAAGCCUACCCUCUUGUUUCCUGUUAGCCAGGCAGUCUUCAAAUAUUUUGCCUCGUACACUGUGAACUUUUAUUUUCCGCAAUAACUUUUGAUUUACUUGGAUUUGAAGUUAAAUUUAAGUUCUCCAGCUACCAUGGUGGGAUUCAAACUCGUUUCUCCCACUCAGUGGUCCAGGCUUCUGGCUGCUAAUUUACAAACAUAACUAUUAUGCUUUCAACUAAUCUGGGGGCAGGACAGGGACCUGGCACUGAGACUCAACAGCCACUCCACCAACUCGUUGGCCUCACCGUGACAUGCUUGCAUCACAAAUCACCAGGCAAAAACUUUCAGCGUGUUUUAUCUGGACAGCAUGUUUGUCCACAUCUGGAAGUAUUAUAAAUGUCAAGGCUUUCGGUAUGUAUAAUAAAAAAUGCACUUCAAACCACGAACAUCCAAUAAAGUGCCAAAGCACAGCAUUUCAUUGCACACCCCCACCUCGUCCCCACCAAACUCGAAAAUAUUCCAUCUCCCCAGGUGAUCACUUUUGUUGAUAAUGUGCCUCUUUCUUGAAGACAAGAGUGAUUACCACCAGUUGCAACAUCAUAAAGGGGUCAAUUCAAGCUUUCUUUCACUGCUUCUCUGCAAUAUUCUCCAACAUUCCUUCCCAACACUCACCUUUCACCCUUCCAAACUCAAGGUACUUCACCUAACCUCCUCCCAGUCAGUGAGAAUUUGGAAGGAGCAGUUCAGACAAAUAGCAUGGAUGUACUUAAGGGGAAGUUAGAUAAACAUAUGAUUGAGAAAAGAAAUGAAAGGUAUAUUAAUAGGGUGAGAUGGAGUCAGCUCAUGUGGAGCAUAAACAUUGGCUUACACUAUUUAAGUUUCUGUGCUGUAAAGUUAAUGUAAGGCUUUUGUCAGCUAGCUGCAAAACAUUUCACAACAUGAAAGCCACUGUAAAAGUAAGAUGUUUUGAUUUUGUUAAAAAAUAGCAGUUGUGCUGUACACUGGGGUUGAGGUCACUGAGUCGUAUUGGUUUACGUGUAGCAGGGGGUCACUGGAGAGCAAGGAGCAGAAUUGCUGAUUAACUUCACCUCCCUCAACUGACCCAUGGUCAAGGGCACUGAGCCAAGGCGAGCUUAGUCCAUUCAGAGUGGAUCAAGAAGGGAAUUUAGCAGUUUGUGCUUGGUCUGGCCUGCGAGAGAGUUUGCCGGAUCAUGGAAUAACAUGGAUCCGAUUCACUCUUGUAGACCACGACAAAGCUGGAGUUAUGAAGUUUUUUUAACCUAUAUUAAUGGAUGUAUGCAUUGGACGGUGUAAUAUGACUAAAUUACUCCAAAAUACCUCUACACUUGCUUUCUUAUCUAUAAGAGCUUGUUUACUUAUUAUGACACAGGAGACCAUUUGGCCCAUCAGGUCCAUGCCAGCUCCCAGCAGAAUAAUCCCAUUAGAGCCAUUCCCCCUCUGUUUAUGUCCCUGCUACUCUCACAUGCUCAUUAACUCUCCUUUAGUUGUUUUGCCACUACUCUACACUAAAGGGUAAUGUACAGGAGCCACUUAACCAACCAGCAUGCCUUUGGAGUGGGGGAGGAAACACCACCCAACGGAAACUUCACACAGAUGGGACCCAAGGACAAAAUUGAACCCAGGCAACUGAAACCAUGCAGAUACUACACUGCAGAGGUUGCAACUAUAUCAACAAGUUUUUACUUAUCUCAAGAGGGAGUGAAGUGUAGUCAUUGAUGUAAUGCUGAAUAUGAUUACUGAUCUGUGCACAGCAAGCUCCCACAAUGUCGCAGUGUCAAGGCUGCGGAGGGGUUUUAAAACGGAGCCAUUGUUCAACAGGGAGCCAACUUUAGUUCACAAACCAGGGUGGCACAGAGGCGCAGAACUUGGUGCUGCUGCUUCACAGCUCCAGCUACGCAGGUUCAAUUUUGACCUCCGUUGCUGUCUGUGUGGAGUUUGCAUGUUCUCCCUGAGACUGCGUGGGUUUCUCUGGGCUGCUCUGAUUUCCUCCCACAUCCCAAAGACAUAUUGGUAGGCUAAUUGGGCACUGUCAAUCGCCCCUAUUGUGGGUGGGUGUGAGGAGGAUCAGGGUGGUGUUGAUGGGCAAAUAGGUUACAGGGAAACCAAGUAGGGUCAUGAGACUGAUGGAAGUGCUCUGAGGGCUGGCAUGGACUUGAUGGGCUGAAUAACCUCCUCCUAUCUUCUAAUAAAAACAAAAAAUAUGAGAAAAAAACAUAGUUGCUGAAUACAGUAUACUUUAUCCUCCUGCUUGGAAGUACAUAAACCAGU